AAAUGAUUCUGCCAAUUUGAUCUAAGAAGGUUUGAAGUUGGAGGGAGACUGGAAGCUGAGAAACCAGCUAGGAGCUUAUUAUAACAAUCCAGGCAUGACGUUGGACCAGUGAGGAAGCCAGGGGCAUGAUUAGAAAGAAGCUCCUGAACCGCCCAGAAUCUAAAAGUGGAGCAUUUGGAGGAGUCGUGUGGAGUGAUUCUGGCUCCCAGAAAUGAACACAGGAGGCACUUUCCUGGGAGCAUGCCACACUACAGGUGAUCUACAAAUGAAUAUCAAAGCAAGUAUCCAGAGGUAGUUGGAGAAAUUUCUGCCUGAAGAGUCAAGAAACAUGAUUCCCCUUUUCUUGCCAAUUGGGCACUUUCUCUCUGUCUGGGGAACAAGUGGCAAGAGGUUACCUUGGAAUUUGCUUUGAAGAUUAGGGUCUUGGUUCCAGGAGAUGGAGUAUGCCACAUACUUUCCUUUUCUCCACAGAGAGGUGGUGGGCUGCAAGAAUGGAUUGUUGUUGCUCAUAUUACAGUUUAUUCUGCUUAAUUGUUUUUCUUCAUUAUAAUGAGGGGAAAGUAGUAAUGGGGAGAAGACUGGGUCAACUAGGCUUAUUGAACAGUGACCAAGGAAUAAAUGGCCAAAAGGAAA